AGGUUUAAGUACAUGUUGAACAGCCUUCUCCAUAAAACGGAUAUUCUGAAGACAGUGAUGACAUGAAAGUUCAAGAUUUGCCUAUUGUGAGCAUUCAGAUACCUCGGUAAUACAGAAUGGGUCAAAAAAAUGCACAAAGGUUAAUCACAUCAUGCUGCAUUGUACUGUAACAGAACAAUUUAUCUGAUGCAAGCAUCAACCAUGAGAAUAACAAAGGAGGGUAGGUCCAAAGAGAAGGUAUGUUUAUAAGUGGUGAUGAUAUGUUAUUGAUGUAAAUAGAUUAUAGCAAUUAAAUAGAAAGAACAAUUGUAAUUUUGCCAGUCAGAAAAAAACAAAAUGAAAAUUUUUUUUAGCUCAACUGAGUCGAAGGCUCAAGGCAUAGG